rnacentral:rRNA from 1 species
UACGUAGGAGGCGAGCGUUGUCCGGAGUUACUGGGCGUAAAGCGCACGCAGGCGGUCAGAUCAGUCUGGAGUGACAGUCGUCGGCUUAACCGACGAAGUGUUCUGGAAACUGUCUGACUUGAGGGCUUCAGAGGGACACGGAAUUCCGGGUGGAGUGGUGAAAUGCGUAGAGAUCCGGAGGAACACCAAAGGCGAAGGCAGUGUCCUGGGGAGUACCUGACGCUC